rnacentral:lncRNA from 12 species
AAAGAACAAAGAAGGUGGAGAAGAUGGAGUCCUUUUAUACCUGAGUUUAGGGGGCAGGUGGGAAUAUGCUGAAGCAGAAGCACCCAAGUGAGAAGGAGGUCUUCUAAGGUGGAGAGAAACAGAAAGAAUGUCUUCUGAAGGAGGGGCAGGAUAUGGAUCAGGAAAUGCUAGAACGACAGUUAACAGACAGAGAGAGAGAAAUACCUGUUCUUCAUAUAAUGACAAAAUGAGCAGAAGCAGGAACUGGCUCAUCCUGAAGCCAAGAACAGGACUAUGUCUCCAGAGCAAGCUGUCUACACCCAAGAUCCAGACCCGGAUGCCUGCAAGCAGCUUAAAAAUGUAGAGGUCAAACUGACUGCCUUGAUAAAAGUGCUGGAAAUAUUCAGAAAGUGCAGAUAUUUUAAUGAGCCAAAAUGUAACAGCUGGCAGAACUCAAAAGCUGCCUGAUUUUUCAUGUACAACAGCGCCAAGCAAACCCCAAUCUGGGCAAUCAAGUUAGAGGAAAACAAAUUAGGCUCUACAGAACAGACUGAAAGUCUCUAAGUGUGGAAUUCAACUGGCAGGUCUAAGCAGCUCUUGAAAAAAAUUGGGUUUGAAUAGAGAGUCUUCAUUUUGUAUGAUGGGGUCUUUCUUGAUGUUUGAGGAAACUCAAGGCUUGAAGAACACCCCUAAAGCUCACUUUCAGACCAUCUUUCUCCUAGUGUAUAAAGAGAAC